GCGCUAGAGCCGUCCCCUUCCGGCCUCGUGCAGCGUUGUUUCUCUGUGGUUGCUUCCGCCGAUGUUAGCGCGGCCUAGGCUAGGUCGUGCUGUCACUCGCGUCGCCUUCGCCGCCGCACUCGGGCUCCGCGCAAGGCUGAGCUGUGGCCGCGUCGCCAUGGCAAAGAGCAAGUUCGAAUACGUGCGGGACUUCGAAGCAGACGAUACGUGUCUACCCAACUGCUGGGUCGUCGUCCGGUUGGACGGCCGCAGCUUCCACCGUUUUGCUGAGCAACAUGGUUUCAAGAAGCCCAAUGACGAUCGUGCCCUUCAGCUGAUGAACAAAUGUGCUCAGACAGUGAUGCAAGAGCUUGAGGAUAUUGCCAUUGCUUAUGGACAAAGUGAUGAAUACAGCUUUGUUUUCAAAAAGAAAAGCAACUGGUUUAACAGACGGGCAAGCAAGUUCAUGACCCAUGUGGUCUCCCAGUUUGCCUCCAGCUACGUUUUCUAUUGGAAGGAGUAUUUUAAGGACCAGCCACUCUUAUAUCCCCCAGGAUUUGAUGGACGUGUUGUAUUGUAUCCUUGUGACCAGAAUCUGAAGGACUAUCUCAGCUGGCGGCAAGCUGAUUGCCACAUUAAUAAUCUCUACAACACAGUAUUUUGGAUCCUUGUACAGAGAAGUGGCUUGACACCUGUGCAAGCACAAAAGAGAUUAAAGGGAACUCUUGCAAGUGACAAGAAUGAGAUCUUAUUUUCUGAAUUCAACAUUAACUACAACAAUGAACCCUUGAUUUAUAGGAAAGGAACUAUUCUAGUGUGGCAAAAGGUAAAUCAUGUCAUUAAGAAAAAAAUUAAAGUUCCAGAGGAAUCAGAAGAGAGAGAAGUUGAAGUGACCCGGAUGAAGACUACAGCAAUCCCUUUGCAUUGUGACAUCAUUGGGGAUCAGUUCUGGGACCAGUAUCCUGAAAUCCUAGCUGAUGAUAGCUGACUAUUCCCUUUUGGAUUCUGGUGUGAAUAACUCUGUACAGUUUACUCUGCAAGGACCAUAUCAUGAGGGAUAGAUUGCUGGCCCCAUUUGGAUAUACUGUGCUGCAGCCAUGUCACCAAAGGUGCACGAAGGCAGCCCACUUGGAGAACUUCAUCGCUGUGUCCAAGAAGGUGUAAAAGUCAAUGUUCAUAUCCGAACUUUCAAAGGGCUUCGUGGAGUCUGCACUGGGUUCCUGGUUGCAUUUGACAAAUUCUGGAAUAUGGCUCUGACUGAUGUAGAUGAGACGUAUCGAAAACCUGUCCUGGGUAAAGCUUUUUAUGUGGAGCCACAGUUGACUCUCACCAGGAUGAGAGAAAGGGAAAUGGACCUCAAAGAUCACUUGCCUGCUUGUUACCACUAGACCUUGACUGAGACAUGGAAUUCUCCAAAGAGACAAGAUAUCCCAAGUCCUGAAGGACAUAUGGACCAUGGAGUUUACAAAAUUGGGGUGUUUGGAUAUGGGACAAGUGUCAUCUUACACUUUAAGACUUUGUUAUCUGAAAUGAAUAACAGAUGCCAAAUACUCUGUUUUUACUCAGUGGCUAUGAAAUAAGUGGAGUUUGCCAGUGACCUUGGUGCUUCGUUGUGUAAUGCUAGUAAUUUUAAAUCAUGGAAAGGCAUGCUUUAAAAAACAAAGUCAUAAGGGGAUUCAGAGCUUGGGAGAAGGAGGAGUGGCUUUAGGUUUUAGCUUAUCUUCACCCCCAUCUCGCCUAAGAGCAUGCAUGGCUGGGCAAAAAAGAAGUAUUCUGGGCAAUGCCUUCUGGUGAACUGGAGUCCAAACUGGUCUCUUGAACCAAAAAAUGAAUGGAAAUGGAAGUAGGUUGUCUUUGCAUGUUAACUUUUGCAAGAAGGAGCCUUUGCCUCCAGUUCAUCUUUAUUUGAGAUCAAGAGUUGAAUCUGCCCUCUUCUUCAUUACUAUAAAGCUUGUGCUCUUAUCCCAUCUUUCCUUUUUUCCGUAUGCCCCCAGCAAACAAUGAAUGCCGUUAAAGCUGUAGCUGUGCUUGGAACUUGUCUUGGUGUAUUGGAAAUGGGUUGAAACAACCCAGAAAUCGCAGUCCAGCCUCUUAUAGUUCUUCUCAUCCAUUUGUGUGGCAAAAUAGUGAAGACUAAAACCAUGUACAUAUAUUGCUAGAACUUUCAGAAAGAAAAAAUGGUGUUUGUGCUAGGCACAGUUGUACUUAAGUGGCCUUGAGAUGCUGAUUUCCCAGCAUCUGAUGGCAACUGUGAUAUCUAGAAGGAGACUUAAUCCACCAGCUCAACUCCAUGGGAUAAGGAUGUGUGCAUGCCAUGAGCACGCACUUCUUUUUCCCACCCCAACCCCGGGGUGCAUCUGUGUGCACGCACUAGAAAAUACAUGCACUAGGCAUUUAGUAUUUCUGGCCCUCCGAUAGCUUUUAGGUUCUGAAUGUCACUUCCCUAAAUGCUAGUUAGAUUAUUCCUAAGAAGCAUGUUUAAGGCUACUGCAAAGCAUGUAUAGUAAUUAUUUAGAAAAUCAGUGCAUUUAACAGCUCACCCCUUAACAUCCCCUUUAAUCAUCAGAACUACACAAAAUGUUGUAACAGUGCUGUCUGGCAAGAGAUUUUUGUGGUGCUAUAGAGCAGUGCCCUCUGUUUACACCGAGUGUGUAUAGCACUCUGGUCUCUAGAUGUUGCCCCUUGUAAUCCAAUGAAUGUUCACAAGCUAGGGUUUUUUUUUAGGUAUUUUCAAAAAAUUAUAAAGCUCAUUUUAAAAAUACAGUCUUUCUAAUUCAAAAUGUAUAGGUUACAUUUUCUAAGCCAUUUGGUAUUUUGGGAUAGGUUUUCCUUGGACAAGUUGAGAAGGCCAGCCCUUAUGGCCGGAGCCACAUGCAAUUCCAGGAUUCUUUUUAUGGACUUCUGUUGUUGUACAGUGCAGCUAAUGAGGCUGCUGUUUGAAGCAAAUGGGGUGUGUGUGUGUGUGUGUGUGUGUGUGUGUGUGUGUGUGUGUGUGUGUGACGGGGUGAGGGUGGGACUUAACCUUAUGUUCCGUCAUGCUGUUUUUGCUUUGGAAACCUGCAUCUUUCUCCAGCAGCUGUAAAAGCAGCUGGUGGCUACUUUCAGUGGAAACCCAACACUAGGGAAAGGGUUAAGAACCCCUCUCCCUUUAUGCUUGUCUUCUGCUUCAAACUGGAGUGUCAGCAGCUGCAUUGCACUAAAAAAAAAAAAAGUCACAGAUCUACACCCAAGUAUACUUCUGACAUUUGUGUUGGACAAUUCCUGAAAUCCGCUAUAUCACGUUUCUAAGUCCAGCUCAAGAUGGUAGAGACUGAAGUUGGGGGAAAGAGCUGGGAAAAUAAACAGAAUCAAACUUGGGGGAAGAAAAAACAAGUUCAUUUGUAAUUUCAUAUGGUUUGCUUGUAACCCCAUUGAACUGAAAUGGUAGUCCCAUUCAGACAUUAUUACAGAGAGGCUGUACUCAUGUACAGACUCUGAAAGCGUGCCAGGAGUCCCUCCCCAGCAUGCCACUCAUCAUCUCCCCUGCUCUGCUCAUGAUUACAAGUGUUCAUCUGAGGAGGCACACACGUUUCCGUGCCUGGGAAGCUGGGGUGCCCCAGUCUCCUAAUCAUAGAAAUGCCUGCCAUCACAAUUACAGCAUUCGCCUCUUCAGACGAAUGCUGUUGGAAUUGUGAGCAGUGCAGGGAGGAAGAUGAGUGACACGCUGGGGAGGGACUUCCAGCAAGCUUUCACAGUGUGCAGGAGCGCAGCCUCUUGUUUAAGGAUGUCUGAAUAGAGCUGACGUGUUUAAAAUACCUGACUGGCUACACAUCCGGGAUCGACUCAUUGCUGGAGCUGAAGAUGCACUUGCCGUUUGAAGCCAUCGCUAUCACCCUGCUUCAUGAGGGAGCCACCCCUGGCUACAUCCAUUCAUUUCUCAGAUUAUUCUUAGCCCUAUUAAACCCCCUCCUCCCCACCUCCAUUCUGUUUUUCAUUAUUUUCUGCCAAUCCCGGCUCGUUUGCCACUUCAUUUCCAAAAGAAAUCUUUGGGCUUCUGAUAAUAAUAGCUUCUGAAUCCCUCGCUCUGCCCUUUUUCAGUUUGACUUUUUCCAGUCAGUUUGCUGCAAAGGUCGUUUCAGGAAUGUUUCUGAGGGAUGCUUAUGGUAGUACUAAAGGGUUUCUUGUUGGUCUUGCCUUCUCCACUGUGGCUCUCUUCCCCCUCAAAAUACACAUUUGACUCUGCACUUCAGAGGGUUUUCUGUAACUUAAAAUGAUCACCAAUACCUUUUGUUAUUUCUCUCCCCAUUUCUAGUUUCUAGUUUUGGAGAGUAUAGUUCCAAUAUUUCUGUUGUUGAGCUUCUUGCUCUUUUGCUUUAUGCUUCAGUGAGGGUGGGGCAAAAAAUGGACAGUCCGGUUUUGUUCUCCCUGUCUAUGAUUUUCAUUCCAUGUUCAGUUUCCAGAUUCUCUUGAGUGAAGGCCAAAUGCCAUUAUUUGACAAGAUGCAUUCCUUUGUACUUGCUUCCUGCUUUUUCCAUCCUGAAGCUGAAGAUACACUUCAUCCAUUUGGUCCACUGUGCCAGUCUGCUUCAAUCAUAGCUUUUUGCUGAGUGCACUGUUUUCAGGAAGUUUAACAUCUUGGCCACUGUUUCUUUACUUACAUUCAGGGUUUAUAAGCUUAUACCUCAUGCUUCAAUUUCGGCAUUGCUACUGCUGUUGUCUUCCAAAAUCCUUUCCUGCAUCCCAAUCCAGCAUUUAUUUGUAUGCAAGCUUCAAUAUAAGCACAAAGUUCCCCUGCCUGUGGGCAUUUCCCAUUCACUUCAUCAGACAAAUAUGACUGGUGUAUGCAAAGGAUUGUGUGUGGAUGGGAAAGUCCAUUUGUCCAUCUUAGCCCUCAUGGAUCUCUGGAUUGCUGCAAUCGCCCAUGCUUUUGCUUGAGAACUAAAUAAUGCCUUAAGUCUACUCUCUUUCAGUUGUCCAUUUUACAUCUGGCAUUUUAUUUAAUACAUUGUACUUGUAUUAAAUAAUACAAGUACUUGUUUCUUGUAGCCUCCUUCAUUGACAAAUGAUUGAUCUGAUUACUCUGUCUUCCCUUACUGACCUCCCACUUUCCUUUCCUUGUGUCUCUUUCUCACACAGUGUAGGAGGUCAUCAGAAAGAUUGGGUUAUCUUCCUCCACUUGCUCCUAGUUAGCUUCAGGUAAAGGAUUUCAGGUAACAGGAAGUCUGGCCUCAUUCCCAGCCUGCACUGGGGCCGAAUUGCAUGAUUAUGUCUGGUAAUAUCAUUAAACUUUUAAAUUUAUCCCAACUCUCCAACUUUGUUUCCCUCUCUCUUAUAUAAACAGCCGUGAGUUUUCUUUUAUUGAAUUCUUGUCACCAGUUUGUGAAUUUGGGUUGUAUUAUUUGUUAUCAAAUAUUGUAUGUCUUAUUGUUGUUACUUGAAACCUAUAUAGAUCAAAGGUGCUAAAUUUCCGCUGUGUUAUUUUGAAAUUCUAAUAAUACUUUAUCCUUAGGAAAGGAUUAUGUUGGUACAUACCUGUUUGUCUUUAUGUUUCUCUCCACAUUUUUUCAGGACAUUUUUGCAUGAAAUUUAGUUAUUCAUUAUGUCUUUUCUGUCUUCUUGCUGCUGCUAUUCCAGAGCAGCCAAGUCAAAACACAGGGGAAGUGAACUCUGCAAAGCCUAGAAAUUUCAGAUGACAAAAAAUAGCAGAAUGCAUAAACUCCCUAUAAAAAGAAACCUGAAACAGAAAACACUGCAGACAGGAUGGACAUGAUACUAAUUAUCUGGAAAGAGAUAAAUAUUUGUGUUGGGGUUUUUUGCUAGCUUUAUUACUCCAGGUUUAUAACUGCGUUCAUUUCUGAUCUGGCUUAUAUGAAUGGGUAACUUUCCUAUGAUAGCUAUCCCUUAGUCUGAUCAUAAACAUAACAAGAUAUGAAGAAUUAAAACUGAGCCUGUCUUUCAGAUGUGAGAUACUAUGCAAAGAGGCUUCUCCUGAUUACCUUAGGCUUCAAAGAGGCUUCUCCUGAUUACCACUUUACUCUGGGCAGAGAAUAAUUAUUGGUGGAAAUGUAACAAUUCAGGAAUCUGUGUUGUCUGUUGAGAAUUGAGGCCGAUUUCAACCACAUCUUCCACAAGAAGGCUGCUGGAAGGUGCUUCUUUGACAGCAUUUCAUGAGGCAGGCAUGUUUGAAAGCUCUAUGCCCAUGUGUGUCAGUUCAGUCCUGUGCCAUCUUUCUGCCCAAAUAAAUCCCUUUUCACUUGGCUCGAGCAGGAAAUUGCCUCAGGUAGUGUUUGGCAGGUAUAAUUUCUUCUGGAGUUGUGACAGGAAAAGUGAUGCUUACUGUGAACCUCUUCCUUGCUAUGCAGCUGUUGAAGAGAAGAGGUCUCCUUUGUGAAGAGUUGGCAGCUUUUUUAUAAACACAGGUAAUGUGGGGGGGGGGGCGUGUUCGGUGUUCAGAUGCAAAUGGCAGGUUGUUACAAGCAACCUAUAUGGAGAUCUUGAAAAUGAACUUUUCCUCUGCUAGAGGCCUGCCUGCCCCCUUUAGCUGUUUGCUGAAGUGUUGUCAGUUCAUCUAAUCUAGAUACAUUAAAAUCCCUAUCUUCCUUCAGCUAUUUAUUUAUUUUUCCCUGAAGAAGAGCUCAGAAAUGCAUAUUUACAUAUCACCAGCAAGUCUUAAUCUACUAUAUUAUGCCAAUUAAUUGUGCAUUCCAUGCAGGUCAUGCAACACCUGAGUGGUUGAAGGCGGAAGCACAUGUUAAUUUUGUUUCCUCAAUUUGCAAAGAAAUGUGUUGGAGAUGAAGAAGCAGAGAAUCAAAUUUCUCUGCAUUGCUAUGAGUACUGGUGAAGGUUGUUAAGUUUCCUCAAAAUGGAUGAGAGAGGCCAACUGGUAGUAGAGGAGUAAGUAAUAGGGAUGACUUGUCUCUGGAUGUAUACAAGCCUUUUUAGAUGUCUCUGAAAGCGCAAUUGCUCUCAGCUGACAGAGGUGAAAGCCUGUCACAAAAGAGAAAAUGGCUUAUGAUGUUCCUGGAUAGCUGUUUUAUUAGCUUCACAACAUGGAGUAGGACAAGUUAGCUGAGAGAAAAUUAGUACACCUGAGACUCUCACAGUCAAUCUUCUAUUCGUUUAGAGUGAAAAGUAGUUUGAUCAGGUUGUGUAACAACAUAUCUAGCCUGUCUCCUCUCUCUUCCCCCCCCCCAGAUUCCCCCCCCCCUUCCCUCAGGGGGAAAAAUUGAAAGCUGCUCCCGGCUCCUUUAGCAAUUGCUUUUGAUUUUCACUACUUCAGAGCAAAGUGCAGCUGUAUCCUUGUAUCUUCUCCUUGAUAGAUCAAUUUUAAGUUGAGAAACGGGGGGGGGAUACCCAAAUCUGUUGGCAUUUGUUAGAAAUUCCUUUAGCUAACUGCUGUGCUGAUGAUGCAUGCAUGCCCAGUAUAAUUGUAUUGGUUGGGCCUCAGUAACUAGUGAAGAAUGUCAAAAGCUAGGUAAACCUUCUGCACUUCAAAUUUAAAGCUGCUUUAGUUGCCAUGGCUUCUCCCAUUGAAUCUUGGGAACUGUAGUUUUAUGACUGUUGAGAGUCCCAGAUUCUUCAAAGAACUGUAGUGCUCAGGGUGCUUUGCUUGCGAGCCAUGACAGUUGAGCUCAAUACUAUAUUUCAGCACAGUCUUCGCAGCAAGUGCUGGAUUUGACCCACCUAUGCUUUUUGCUUGCACGCUCUCUCUCUCUGUUCUCAUGUGUGUAAAAGGGGGGAUGAUAGAUGCUUGCACACUUUGAGGAUACAUGCCAAAUCUCAUAUAUUGCAGAGGUAUUGGUUAGAGUUAAUAGCCUUUUUGUCAGAAAGAGUGUAGUAGCUCUUUAGCCUCCCAACUUUACAGGUAUUGGACAUAUAAUGCGUGUAAUGCCUAUGAGCAAGGCAAAAUCUUGAGUUAGCUGCAAGUGUAUACUUUACUCAGAGUAUAUGGGAACAAGAAAAUAAAAUGAGCAGAAAUGGGAAAUAUUGUGUAAGUUGCUUCCAAUAUGUCUGUCUUCCUAAGUGUUCUAUUUCUAAGAAGGAAUUGCUGCUAUGAAUCUAACAAUGAAUGUACAACUUUUUUUUUUGCUUGAUGGAUGUAAAUAUCUGUAUACAAAAGGAUUCAACCUCUAAGGCAAUAAAUAUAUUGAUGGUA